AUUUGCUGUGGGCUAAUAAAAUGUAUGUGAGCGUCAAUACCGCCUGCUGUUAUAAUCUUCCCUUCUCCCGCAAUAACAUCUGUCCCAGGACCGAUUAUUAUAUCAAUAUUUUUUUGAAUAUCUGGAUUACCAGCUUUACCAAUUUGAUGGAUAAAACCAUUAAUAAUUCCGAUGUCUGCCUUGAUAAUACCCCAGUGAUCUAUAAUAAUUGCAUUGGUAAUUACAGUAUCGACAGCGCCAUCUUUAUUUGAUAUUUGGCUUUGGCCCAUACCGU
rnacentral:sRNA from 1 species